rnacentral:rRNA from 1 species
GAUGAACGCUGGCGGCGUGCCUAAUACAUGCAAGUCGAGCGAACAGACGAGGAGCUUGCUCCUCUGACGUUAGCGGCGGACGGGUGAGUAACACGUGGAUAACCUACCUAUAAGACUGGGAUAACUUCGGGAAACCGGAGCUAAUACCGGAUAAUAUAUUGAACCGCAUGGUUCAAUAGUGAAAGACGGUUUUGCUGUCACUUAUAGAUGGAUCCGCGCCGCAUUAGCUAGUUGGUAAGGUAACGGCUUACCAAGGCAACGAUGCGUAGCCGAACUGAGAGGGUGAUCGGACACACUGGAACUGAGACACGGUCCAGACUCCUACGGGAGGCAGCAGUAGGGAAUCUUCCGCAAUGGGCGAAAGCUUGACGGAGCAACGCCGCGUGAGUGAUGAAGGUCUUCGGAUCGUAAAACUCUGUUAUUAGGGAAGAACAAAUGUGUAAGUAACUAUGCACGUCUUGACGGUACCUAAUCAGAAAGCCACGGCUAACUACGUG